GAUGAAGAACGCAGCGAAAUGCGAUAAGUAAUGUGAAUUGCAGAAUUCAGUGAAUCAUCGAAUCUUUGAGCGCACCUUGCGCUCCUUGGUAUUCCGAGGAGCAUGCCUGUUUGAGUGUCAUUAAAUUCUCAACCAUUAUCAACUUUUGCUGAUAAUGGCUUGGAUGUGGGGGUCUAUUUUGCUGGCUUCUCAGAUAGUCAGCUCCCCUUAAAUGCAUUAGCCGGUGCCCCGCGUGGACUGUCUAUUGGUGUGAUAAUUAUCUACGCUAUAGACAUCUGCAAUCAUAUGGGUUUGCGCUGCUUCUAACAGUCUGUUGAUUCAGACAAUACAUGACAAUUUGACCUCAAAUCAGGUAGGACUACCCGCUGAACUUAAGCAUAUCAAUAAGCGGAGGA
rnacentral:misc_RNA from 1 species